CCCUCGUGCCCAUAGCGCAAUGGUCCCACUCCAUCCCAUUCCGAACUGGAUCGUGAAACGUUGCAUCGUCGAUGGUACUUGGCGAGUGAUCGCCCGGGAGAGUAGAAAGGCGCGAGGGG
rnacentral:rRNA from 1 species